AAUCGUACCCCAAACCGACACAGGUGGUCAGGUAGAGAAUACCAAGGCGCUUGAGAGAACUCGGGUGAAGGAACUAGGCAAAAUGGUGCCGUAACUUCGGGAGAAGGCACGCUGGCAUGUAGGUGAAGUCCUUCGCGGAUGGAGCUGAAGCCAGUCGAAGAUACCAGCUGGCUGCAACUGUUUAAUAAAAACACAGCACUGUGCAAACACGAAAGUGGACGUAUACGGUGUGACGCCUGCCCGGUGCUGGAAGGUUAAUUGAUGGGGUCAGCCGCAAGGCGAAGCUCUUGAUCGAAGCCCCAGUAAACGGCGGCCGUAACUAUAACGGUCCUAAGGUAGCGAAAUUCCUUGUCGGGUAAGUUCCGACCUGCACGAAUGGCGUAAUGAUGGCCAGGCUGUCUCCACCCGAGACUCAGUGAAAUUGAACUCGCUGUGAAGAUGCAGUGUACCCGCGGCAAGACGGAAAGACCCCGUGAACCUUUACUAUAGCUUGACACUGAACAUUGAGCCUUGAUGUGUAGGAUAGGUGGGAGGCUUUGAAGCGUGGACGCCAGUCUGCGUGGAGCCAUCCUUGAAAUACCACCCUUUAAUGUUUGAUGUUCUAACUCGGCCCCGUGAUCCGGGGUGAGGACAGUGUCUGGUGGGUAGUUUGACUGGGGCGGUCUCCUCCCAAAGAGUAACGGAGGAGCACGAAGGUUAGCUAAUCACGGUCGGACAUCGUGAGGUUAGUGCAAAGGCAUAAGCUAGCUUGACUGCGAGAGUGACGGCUCGAGCAGGUACGAAAGUAGGUCUUAGUGAUCCGGUGGUUCUGAAUGGAAGGGCCAUCGCUCAACGGAUAAAAGGUACUCCGGGGAUAACAGGCUGAUACCGCCCAAGAGUUCAUAUCGACGGCGGUGUUUGGCACCUCGAUGUCGGCUCAUCACAUCCUGGGGCUGAAGUAGGUCCCAAGGGUAUGGCUGUUCGCCAUUUAAAGUGGUACGCGAGCUGGGUUUAGAACGUCGUGAGACAGUUCGGUCCCUAUCUGCCGUGGGCGUUGGAAGAUUGAGAGGGGUUGCUCCUAGUACGAGAGGACCGGAGUGAACGCACCACUGGUGUUCGGGUUGUCAUGCCAAUGGCAUUGCCCGGUAGCUAAGUGCGGAAAAGAUAAGCGCUGAAAGCAUCUAAGCGCGAAACUUGCCUCAAGAUGAGUCUUCCCUGGGCCUUUAAGGCCCCUGAAGGAACGUUUAAGACUAAGACGUUGAUAGGCUGGGUGUGUAAGUGCAGCGAUGCAUUGAGCUAACCAGUACUAAUGAUCCGUGAGGCUUAACCUU
rnacentral:rRNA from 1 species